rnacentral:lncRNA from 1 species
GAACCAGGCCACGCCAGACGCAUCAUCUCUGGGUCCUGGUAUUCAUCCCCUUCCCGCCCAGCCCCGCCCCUGAAGACAGCAUGCAGCUGCAGAUUCCAGGGAGACUGCUGCUUAGGGGGGCCUACUGAAGCCAUAGCCCUGUGUGAGGAACUCAGGAUGAGAAGGUGAAGAUCAGAGACUCUCAGAGCCCACCUACAGCUUGUCCCCACGAAACCCACCCGACUUUUCCCUGCCUAGUCCACUCCACCACCGAUUGGGUCUGGCCCUGGCUGUGGGCAGCGAACUGGAAUCUCGAGCUGAGGGAACUCUGCCAUCCCGGGCAUGGAUUUCGUGUUCUUUCAGGUCUUGGAUAUAAAAUGCUUUCCGGAGGCCCCGUGCUUGAGCACAUGAUCACCAGCGGGUGGCGCUGUUUUUUCGAGGCUGUGAACCAUACAAAAGGUGCUCAACUGAAGUGGGACCACCAUCUCCAGAACUUCCAGAGGCAGGAAAGUGGACCGAGAAGAGCCCUGCAGACAAUGAGAGGUCCAUGCGGAGCAUCACACAAGCCAGAUAAUGGCCGAGCCCAGGCCGGAACCUCAGCCUCCUCGUAUGUGCGGCGUGGGUAUGAGUGGAACGCUGCACAUGGCUGUGCCUGUACCACAUGUGUGAGUGCGCGGGCACCACAUGCCUGCUUGUAGCUGGCUCCUCAUCCCCAGCCCCUGGACCUCCAGGGUUAACGUUCCGCUCAGGCGCUGGGAAGUGCAGCCACUCCACGUUCAGAGUGGCCAAGGUAGCAGAAGGAGCAUGCACCUUACUGGACCAGGGACAAGCAGGAAGUUGGGAGUGGACACAGAGUCCACUCUAUGGAAAGCCAGAAAAGCAGCAUUUGGGUCUGUGAUGACUCAUCAUUAGCAUGGAGGGUCUGAGACCCACACCUCUACCUGCUCACUUACUUCAGGUCCCAGAGGGUCCCUGGACCUAAUGACACAUGUUCUGAUCCUCUCCAGUGUUAUACGCCACACAUACCAUAUCAGCCCUGUGCGGCUCUGGAGGCCAUUUGACCACUGAGUUCUUCACGUUCCUGCUUAAGGACCCUGUCAGUUGUCUGUCUUCCAGCCUCGUGGCUGACCACUCUACCUUCACUGUUUGGCAUAGACUCUUGGUUGGAAGAAUCUCGAGUCUAAUUCUGACGCCCACUAUAGGCCUGGAGCUGGUGACAGCCUGGUGGUUUGUGGCAGGAAGGGCUCCUUCAUAUUAAACUUGAGCAGAUCUGGAAAAUGUCAUUCCCCAGCCUCAGCAAAGCCGACAGCUGAUGCGAUUUAUCUGACUGCGGAUCAGUUCAUCAAACUUGGCUGUGUGUCCUUGGGUGAGACUUGUCCCUUCUCUGGUCCUUACUUCCUCACUUGUGAGAUGGAGAAACGAUUGCUCUCAAGAGGAGGAUGGAUAAACACUGUAUAUACGAUACUUGGCAAACGGGCUUCAAGCUUCUCAUCAGAAGAAUGGGGAAAGUGACAAUAUGGUGACCGGCAGAGGUGCCAGCACUCGAAGCAGUAAUGUCUCUUAGCAUCCUUGGUUGUCAGAGGGCUGGGACGCUCAGAGAGAGACUGAGCUGCUGUGCCAAGCCUCUCUCACCACAGUGGACUGAAGACCCUGCAACAGCCAGAAGUGACUGUCGCCUCCGUUGGCUAUUUCUAUCAGAUACACCAGAAGGUUGUGAGCCACCACAUGGUUGCUGGGAAUUGAACUCAGGACCACUGGAAGAGCCAGUCAACUGCUGCGUCUUAAGCGCUGAGCCAUCUCUCCAGGUUUUUUAUUACACACCAUGUGCACGCAGUGUCAAUUGAGACCUGAAGAGGGCACUAGACUCCCUGGAAGUGCAGAUACAGAUGCUUGUGAGCUACUGCGUGGCUUCUGGAACCAGAACCCAGGCUCUCUGCAAGAGCAGUCAGUUCUCCUAACAUCAGAACCAUCUCUCUAGCUCUAUCAUUUGACUUUUAACUGCUAACACUCACUUCUGCCUUAAAGAAGGUUUUUUAUUUCUAUAAAGCCAAAUUAGUCUCCCCUGCCCCUUUCUGAGGGCUUUGUCUGAGGACUUCUCACGCAUUAAAAAUAUUGUUCAAACUGUAUCUGUGGUUCCUUUCAGGCUAAUUCUUUCAUUAAAAACGUUUCAGUCCCUGACCCACCUAGAAUUUGCUUUGGUAUAAAGUAUGACACGGGGAUCUAAUUUUCUCAAUGGCUAAUUGGAUGUCCUAAUGACAUUAAUAAGUAGUUCAUCUUCUCCUCAAUGAUUUUGUUUUCUGCCCCAACUUUAUCAAAGUACAACUGAUAAAUAAACAUUAUACAUCUGGGAUGCAUAAUAUAUUUUGAUUUAUGCAUACAUUAUGAGAUGUUUGAUCAAGUCAAUUCAUGUAUCCAUCACCUAAUUAUUAUUAUGGUUUAAAUAUUAAAUGUCCCUCACAGGAUCAUACUUUGAAUGCUUGGCCUCAAAGUUCUGUCUUAGCGAGUUCUGUUGGUGGUUCUGUCUCAUGGAGUUCUGGAAACUUUAGAAGGCGGGGCCUAUGGUCAUCCGGACAUGUCUUUGUGAGUCUAUUCACCAGGGCUUCUUCUAAUCUUUCACUGUGCUCCCCAUCUGCUGGGAUGUAAGCAGUGGUCUCCCACCACAUGCUCCUGCUGCCAUGAUGUUCUGUUCAAGUGUGAAGGGCCAAGUGUGUUUCAGGUCAUGCAUGGCCUGAACUCUCUGAAACCCUGAGCCGGAAUCCAUACUUCUUUCUGUAUAUACAAUGUAGAUAUAGUGGGGUGUGUCUCUCAGAUAUUUUGUCAAAGCAAUGAGAAAAACAGCUUUAUGAUUUAAAUGUGAAAUAUGCCCUGCAGGUACAUCGUUUGAACUCUGGAUCCCUGGAUAGCAGUGCUCUAUUUUUGAAAGGCUGUGGAAACUUUAGGAGGCAGGGCAUCAGUGUUGGCAAUGGACCACUGAGGGAGGGGCCAGCCUUGAGGAUUAUUGUCUGUGUCUCAGGCUGAGCUCUUAGCUUUCCUGUUCUAGUAAGAUGUGAGCAAGCUGAGGCAAAAGAGAGCUGUUCCGUAAGCUUCUGCCUCCACAGACAGGGGCAGGACCACUGCCAUGCUUUCUUCUAUACGACCUGAGCCAAGUCCUUUCUCCCUUGAGCUGCUUCUCAACGCUGUCUUAGGCAUUUGGGCACAGCAACAAAAGACUGCAUACAGCAGCUGAUACCCUUACACACAUUUUUGUGGCAAGAUCAUUUACAAUCUGACCUGGUGAAUUCCAGAUGACCAAAGAAACCAUUUCAUCCACGUCCAGUUGGUAAAGCCAUGAGUUAAUUGAGAGUUUCUUCUUGAGCAUGAAUGACACUGCGGACACUGUGCCCCACUGUGGCACAAAGGGUAGCUCACUCAGGCUACCCACAUUUCUAGUUCCCCAUACAGCUUAUGAGCAGCAGUCUCACCAGAGGCUCUUCCCUCCUCUCAUCUCAGGAACCUUACGAACCUCCUCCCUAAUCCAGGAUCGACUGUUCCAUUCUAGAAGAAGCAGCUCCACAGUACAUGUAUUAUUAUUGACUAUAGUCACCAGGCUGCACAACCGGAAGUGUUCAUCAUGCCUAACAGGAGUGUCGCCUCCUUUCCCUGCAUCCUCCCUGCAUCCCUCAGUCCUGGCAACUAGCAUUCUGCGCUCUGCCGCUGUGAGUUCAAUGCUGUUAAAUUUUAAGUGUAAGUGAAACCACAGAAGGCUCUCCAUGCCUGGCUUAUUUUAUUUGGCAUAAUGCCUUCAGGUUCAUCCAUGUUGCAAAUGACAGGAUUCCCAGACUCCUAUUUCCCAGUGUCUUAAAGCAAGGGUGGUCUCUCCAUAAGGUGUUGUGGACUAAAUGUAGGGUCGCAAAAUAUUUGGUGAGAGUUAAAACAUUUCUGAACUUGUGGGGACCCACCCUGAUUCAAAAUCAAAUGUGCAAUGAAACCAAGGUAUGCAGGGUGCUUGCUUGUGUUGUGUCAUGUGACCUCACUGAAGCCGUGGUUCAGCACACCCCACAUGGGCUUUUUGCACUGGGCAGGCGGGCACCGCACGCGACACCAAUGGGGACUGCUUGAGAGGCCGUGGCUCAUCGUGGAGAUUAUUCUGUGUUAUGAACUGCUGCGGUGUUCUUUACUGAACACGCAGAGCUCUCAGCUCUUGUGCAAAGAGAAUGGUUUCAUUAUAGAGAACAGGCUUUUAAUAUUUUCCUACCCCUAUUCUUCAGCAUGUAAGUAUCAAGUUGGUGGUAUAGCUUUGGAUUAUAUUGUGUUUGAAUGUUUGACUUUAAAAAUUGCUGUUUGAGUUGCUGACUCAAAUUUCAUAAAAAAAAAAAAUCAAAUCAUGAAAUGAAUUUUGGCUUGAGGCUGGGACAGACUUUCCAACAGUCUCUGAAGUGGCCCUCAAUAUACUUCUGCCAUUUUGUGCUAGGCUCAAAAUGCAAAGCAGCGGUCUCAGCAUUGGCAAUUAUAGAUCAAUAAUACCAAUCGACGCUGGAAAUGUUCAGGAUGCUCCAUGUCCUUCAGCAUCAACGUUAUUCUUGAAUAAGAAUAAACCAGCACAUACGACGCAGUGGCCUGCAUGCUAGCAUCAGUUCUUUAAUGCAAUGGUAAAAUUCUGUACAUAGUAAAGAAUUGUUUUUAAAUAAACUUCGUUAUGAUUUAUUCU